rnacentral:sRNA from 2 species
UCGACCGAAACGCCGAAUCCUGCCGUCGGCCGAUGGGAACAGUCGUCGCGCAAGCGCCGUAGGCAGGAGCGGGGGACCCAAGGUAAGUGCCGGCCCCGGCCGUCGAGACAGACGGCCGACGACCGGCUUGGGGUGAAGCCGCGUGCUAGGACACGCGGCCGGGCAACUCUUCGGCCCGAACCCGACAGCUCACCUCGCAGGCGUCGGUGAGGAGAAUC